rnacentral:rRNA from 1 species
GAUAAACGCUGGCGGCGCACAUAAGACAUGCAAGUCGAACGGACUUAACCAUUAGUUUACUAUUGGAGCGGUUAGUGGCGGACUGGUGAGUAACACGUAAGCAACCUGCCUAUCAGAGGGGGAACAACAGUUAGAAAUGACUGCUAAUACCGCAUAUGCCUAAGUACCACAUGGUACAAUAGGGAAAGGAGCAAUCCGCUGAUAGAUGGGCUUGCGUCUGAUUAGUUAGUUGGUGAGGUAACGGCCCACCAAGGCGACGAUUGGUAGCCGGACUGAGAGGUUGAACGGCCACAUUGGGACUGAGACACGGGCCCAG